rnacentral:rRNA from 1 species
UAGGGAAUCUUCGGCAAUGGGGGGAACCCUGACCGAGCAACGCCGCGUGAGUGAAGAAGGUUUUCGGAUCGUAAAGCUCUGUUGUUAAGGAAGAACGUGUGUGAGAGUGGAAAGUUCACACAGUGACGGUACUUAACCAGAAAGGGACGGCUAACUACGUGCCAGCAGCCGCGGUAAUACGUAGGUCCCGAGCGUUGUCCGGAUUUAUUGGGCGUAAAGCGAGCGCAGGCGGUUAGAUAAGUCUGAAGUGAAAGGCAGUGGCUCAACCAUUGUAGGCUUUGGAAACUGUUUAACUUGAGUGCAGAAGGGGAGAGUGGAAUUCCAUGUGUAGCGGUGAAAUGCGUAGAUAUAUGGAGGAACACCGGUGGCGAAAGCGGCUCUCUGGUCUGUAACUGACGCUGAGGCUCGAAAGCGUGGGGAGCGAACAGGAUUAGAUACCCUGGUAGUCCACGCCGUAAACGAUGAGUGCUAGGUGUUAGGUCCUUUCCGGGAUUCAGUGCCGCAGCUAACGCAUUAAGCACUCCGCCUGGGGAGUACGACCGCAAGGUUG